rnacentral:rRNA from 1 species
GACAGAGGAUGCAAGCGUUAUUCGGAAUCACUGGGCUUAAAGGGCGCGUAGGCGGGCCUGAAAGUCAGGGGUGAAAGCCCCCAGCUCAACUGGGGAAGUGCCUCUGAUACUGCGGGCCUCGAGCGAGGUAGGGGCGUGCGGAACUUCCGGUGGAGCGGUGAAAUGCGUAGAUAUCGGAAGGAACAUCGGUGGCGAAAGCGGCGCGCUGGACCUCUUCUGACGCUGAGGCGCGAAAGCCAGGGGAGCGAACGGG